rnacentral:rRNA from 1 species
UACGUAGGGUGCAAGCGUUAAUCGGAAUUACUGGGCGUAAAGCGUGCGCAGGCGGUGAUGUAAGACAGAUGUGAAAUCCCCGGGCUCAACCUGGGACCUGCAUUUGUGACUGCAUCGCUAGAGUACGGUAGAGGGGGAUGGAAUUCCGCGUGUAGCAGUGAAAUGCGUAGAUAUGCGGAGGAACACCGAUGGCGAAGGCAAUCCCCUGGACCUGUACUGACGCUCAUGCACGAAAGCGUGGGGAGCGAACAGG